UUGGUUCACCAGCUUUUUACAAACUUGAAGCUGAGUUGGAUGAAGCAGCUAUGUCUUUACCUGCAACCAAGGGAUUUGAGUUUGACAGUUGAUUUGUAUCUGUGUCGGGCGUGUUCUGUAACGGGUUAAAUACAGGGUAUAGCAGGACUUGAUUUCAACGUUCGCAGAAAAGAAAUGAUGGAGGACUAGGCCACUAAUACAAAUGGAGUAAGUACAUUUGGUGCUUGCUUCAUCAUCCUAAUAUGAUGAAUCUUAUUGGCCUACCGUUCAAAGAAUCAUUAGAGGCUAUUGGUUAUGAGUACAUGCCUAAAGGAUGCUUGAAGAAUCAUCUUUUUAGAAGUGUUUCUUUUGUGACGUGACCAAUUGCUUUCUUGAUUGAUGUUUGGGUUGGAUCAGUGCCUUUACCAGAAGUGUUUCCCAAUUUGCUUGCUUUAGAAAAGGAAAAGUUGUGUUUGGUGGCGCCAAGGGUGCGGGUAGUGGUGCAGUAAAUUGGAGCUGGAAACGGCCCGAGCGGUGCCUCUGUAGGCAGCAGAACUGCACCAUCUAGAAGUGUUGUUGUGCACGAUAAACCUGUCUACCGAGCCUAACUGUUGGACUUGGCUAUGUGACUCGACGGGCGAAUUUUCUGUUAGAAGUGUGAAGAAGAUCAUCCAAGAGUUCGAUCGUGUGGUCCCGAAUUGUGUCUUUUAACGGAUCACCUGGGUACCGAGUAAAGUCGGCAUUGUUGCGUGGCGUGCCGAAGGAGACAGGUUGCCAACUAGAGUUGCUCUUGCGAAAAGAGGUAUUCCAGUUUUGAGGACUUGAAUGUGUUCUAUGUGCGGAAUUCAAGGAAACGUGUGAGCAUAUUUUUGUGUCGUGCCAGUUCUCACAUGUGGUAUGGCAACUUAUUGGUCAAUGGUGCAAAACUAAUUCACUGUAUGUUUUCAGUUUUGGACCUGCACAAAUGGGUCCUAUUAGGUAAAAGGAGGCAAAACUCUUUUCAUGUUAUUUCCUUAGUUACGAUUUAGAGCAUAUAGAGGCAUAGAAAUUAAUUGGCCUUUUGACAAAAGUCGGUGUUCGUUUCAAAUGUAAUUGAUGAGAUUAAUUUAAUGAGUUUUCUUUGGGUCA